GGCUUACACAUGCAAGUCGAGCGGUAACAUUUCUAGCUUGCUAGAAGAUGACGAGCGGCGGACGGGUGAGUAACGCGUAGGAAUCUGCCUAGUAGUGGGGGACAACAUGUGGAAACGCAUGCUAAUACCGCAUACGCCCUACGGGGGAAAGGAGGGGAUCUUCGGACCUUUCGCUAUUAGAUGAGCCUGCGUGAGAUUAGCUAGUUGGUGGGGUAAAGGCCUACCAAGGCGACGAUCUCUAGCUGGUCUGAGAGGAUGAUCAGCCACACUGGGACUGAGACACGGCCCAGACUCCUACGGGAGGCAGCAGUGGGGAAUAUUGGACAAUGGGCGCAAGCCUGAUCCAGCCAUGCCGCGUGUGUGAAGAAGGCCUUAGGGUUGUAAAGCACUUUCAGGAGUGAGGAAGGAUGUACGGUUAAUACCCGUAUAUUUUGACGUUAACUCCAGAAGAAGCACCGGCUAACUCUGUGCCAGCAGCCGCGGUAAUACAGAGGGUGCGAGCGUUAAUCGGAAUUACUGGGCGUAAAGCGCGCGUACGCGGUUUGUUAAGUCGGAUGUGAAAUC
rnacentral:rRNA from 1 species